rnacentral:rRNA from 1 species
UACAGAGGUCCCGAGCGUUGUUCGGAGUCACUGGGCGUAAAGGGUGCGUAGGUGGUGAGGUAAGUCGGAUGUGAAAUCUCCGGGCUCAACCCGGAAAUGGCAUUAGAAACUACCUUGCUGGAGGGUUUGAGGGGGGAUUGGAAUACUUGGUGUAGCAGUGAAAUGCGUAGAUAUCAAGUGGAACACCAGUGGCGAAGGCGAAUCCCUGGAAAAUACCUGACACUGAGGCACGAAAGCUAGGGGAGCAAACAGG